GUAGAGGGAGAUGGGCACUGAUGUUAGCUCAGGGCCAGUCUUCCUCGGCAAAAAGAGGAGGAUUGGCAGCAGAUUUAGCUCAGGGCUAAUAUUCCUCAAAAAAAAAAAAAAAUCACAGUGGUAGUUUACAGAAGUAGAUAAAACAAUCCUUAAAUUCACGUGGAGUCACCAAGGACCCGGAACAGCCAAAGCAAUCUUGAAGGAAGAACACAGCUGGAGGCAUCAGCUGCCUGGUUCAAACUAUCCUAAAGCUACAGUAAUGAAGACAGUGUGGCGCUGGCAUAGAGACAGACACACAGGCCAACGGAACAGAAUCGAGAGCCCAGAAGGACACCAUACGUAUGCGGUCAACUGAUCUUCAACAUGGGAGCCGAGAUUAGUCAACAGGGAAAGGCCGGUCUCUUAACAAUGGUGCUGGAAAACUGGACAUGUGCAUGCAGGAGAAUGAAAACGGACUCUUCUCUCACACCAUCCACCCCACAAACCAGCACAGACUCACCAAGGACUUAAACGUGACACAGGAACCUGUGAGAUCCCUGGAAGAAGACUCAGGGAUGGCCUCACCUUUCUUAUCCAUGCCCGAGUUCCUCCUCUCUUCCAUCUUCUUUCACAUGGAGUAGCAUUGUCUCAUGUUUCCCAGCGUCCUGGUCUGAAAGUGGGAUGUCCACUCGCAUUAGUGUGUGGUCGCCCUGAAGUGCACCUGCAUCCUCGAUAUGAUGCUGAGGUUGGACAUCAGGAUUGUAACACAGUUGCUUACACGUGGCUUUUGCCCUAUUUUGGACAGUCUCCUCAGCGGCGUCCUGGACAUCAGAUUGCUGGGUCAAAGUUGACGUUUUAUGGUUUUUGAGAUGUUUCUGUUGAGCAUUUUUCAAAUGACACCUUGCACCUCCCACGAGCGUGGCUGUAACACAGGCCCCUCCUCUUCUCUGCUCAGUGCCACCCCUUGGGAGGUCCCAGCCCUUCUCUUUGAGGUCAUUUGUCCCCUCAGGCUGUCCUGCUGUGUAGAACUGGGGGAUGCCUCCUGUGGAACUUGAGGACCGGAGGUCAGCCCAGGAAGGCAGCUUCUCAGCAGAACCUAGGCCGUGGCUGGAGCCUGGAGGCUACAGGGCCGGGGCGCCUCCUGCCUGAGGCUGGGGAAGCCCCCUGCCCUACAGCCUCCACCUUCAUUUCUGGACUGAAGGUCAGAUGCCCAACCCUGGGGCCCAGGAGGAGCCCCUCCAUCAGCUGACGAGGGUCCCAGGGAGAGGCCGGUCCAGUGACUGUUCCCUAUUGUCAGGCAGAAGCAAAGUCACAAGACGACACGUCAUGAGCCAUGAGGUGGGGAUCGGUGGACAGGCCGGCUCCAACUGCCCACUAGGGUCCCGAGUAUGCACAGUGGGUCACAGGAGCUGUCUCUGUGCCCCUCUGCCCAGCCUCAUCGCAGCUCAGUGGCAGGCUGCGGCUUUGUGCCACCUGCAGGUUGCACGACACUGUGCAGCCUUCUCACUGGGAGUCCAGAUGGGCAGGGGAGACUGGCCGGGACAGGCGAGCGCAGAUCUCAUGUCAGGGCUACUGUCCCGGGGCCUUGGUGGCUGGCUCGACUCAGAGGGUACAUGGGAUUGUCCUGGACACCACCUCGCCCUCCCCCGAUGGGAUGGGCUCCCCAGCGUCUCCAGCACUGGAGGGGCUCACAGAUCCUCGGGGUCCGAGCCGGUGGCCUAGGUGGGUGAGGCGUCUUGGGCAGGCAGCCUGUGCCUGAGACCUCAGGGUCUUCAUCACCAAAGUGCUGGCACCAGAAUGCUUGGGAGUCAGAUGUUUCCAACUUGGUUUUAUUCAGGGGCUUCUGCUGUGUGUCCAGGAGCCGUCCAGGGUGUGAACUAGAAGAGACGCCACCGCCCAUGGUAACUUCAGGAAACAGUGGACAUCGGCACAAUAAAAGGGCACUGCAUGGUGUCAAGUGCUCAAGAGAAAACCGGAGCAGGGGACGUGGGGGGGUUUCAGUUUUAGGGGGCGGCCAGGAGGGCCUGGCCGAGACCACAGGUGGGCGGGGAUCCCCCUCCUCCCAUGGGAGGGACAGAGUGGGGCUUCCCCACCAUUGGAGGGUCUCGUCGGGAUGGGGAAGCUGAUGUCCCUCCUGAGGAGGAGAGAGACAUGAUGGACACCUGGCUGGGGGGUUCUCUGGGCCAUGGUGGCCACUGUGCCAGGGCCAGGCUGAAGGUUAAAGGGCGAGAGCAGGACGCAGGAGGGUGGCAGCCAAGGGGUAUCCAGUGCUGGGGUGAUGCUAAGCCCGAGCAGGGCCACCCCUCAACCCUGAGGGGCCAUGUGCCUGGGCUUAGAUUGGUAAGGACCUGGGCCUGUCGAUGUCCAGUCAGUCCCUGUGGAUCAGGGCCACGUAGAGGGAAGGCCAUGGGCUUGCAGGACUGGCUGCAACCACGAGGUCAUCCUGCUGCUCCUCAGUUCCAUUUCCAGUGGCCGCACGACUGUAGAGGGAGAUGGCAGAUCUGGAGGGCCCCGCCUGACACCCUGAGGGGCAGAGGCUCAAGACUGAGUGAUGUACAGAGACUCCUCACCCACCACUCCCUGCCAGGUGAGAGUCCGUGUGCCAGCCAGCCACCCCCUUCCCUGUCCCAGGCAGGAAUCGCUUGAGUCCAGCACCAUCGGCGUCCAGUACCAGGAGGGAGUGAGAGGACAGCUGUCCCUUCGCUGGACAGGAGACCCCCGAGAAGAUGUGCUUCUCUUUAUGUCGAAGUACAGAUGAGCCCAGGAAAACGUCACUCAGGGAUCUGGGGACCUAGGUGAGCUGACUCUAAGUUCACAUGGAGAAAUCACUGAGCAAAAAAAUCCAGGAAAACUCGAGGAACUGUCACCAGAGGGACGAGCCUGACAGCCAUGAAAACACAGAUGACAGUGUGAUGCUGCCAUGACCCAGAACAGCCUUUCCAAAGGGACAUGUGUCCCGGGAGCCACUUACGACAAGUGACACAUGCACCCCACAGAGUCAGGUGUCUCCAUGGGAAAUGUGCAAUUGGAGUCAGAGAAGAGCACGGAACAGGGAAAUGUCUGCCCUUCCGAUUUCCUGAGUGGAGGGUGCUUCCGCAAACCCGCUCUUUAAAAGACCAAACGGCAAAGGGACAUGAGGUGGAAGCUGACACCUGAGGGAGGACAGUGGCUCCUGAUGACGAGGCAUCCUAUCACCUCGCUGCUGAGAGACAUGCGGAUGAAGCUGGGAAGCCCUUCAGGCUGCACCUGUCACCCCAUGGCCUGGUGGAAUGGCAGCACCCCGAAAUUCCGCCCACUGCCCGGCACCCUGACUGCUCUUGUCCAUAGCAGUUGGAGGCACUUGUCUCCUUUGUGAGCGGCUCUGCCGUCUCACACUGCCCACCUCGAUGUGAGUGCAGGAGGCACAACUCACACCGCAACUGGUCAGUCAGACAUGAAGGAAGACCCAGAGACCCUGCUGGCCCUGGAAAGAGCAAAAAUAAUUGCCCAGUAUGAUCAGGGACGCCAGGCAGGGGUUCCAGUGGAUCCUCAGGAAGACCCCGAGCUGCCCCUUUCCAAGGUCACCGACCGCCUCGGUUUCCUGCAGUGAGUCACCUGGACGCCCGCUCUUUUCAUCUCAGGGAUGGUUUCUGUUGGUGGAAACACCUCUCUGGAGGCAGGACCCGUCUCCCCAGCUCAGAGCCUCGUCCCCUGGUGCCCACUGCAGUCCAGGGUCUACAGUCGGCUCCAGCUGAGAGACCAGAAGUGGCCUCAGGAUGGUGGGCAGGGGUGGAGCAGGGCCCUGGCCGGGCUGGGACACUCAGCAGUGUGGCCUCCACGCCUGCAUGAGGGAGGGCGUGAUGGUGUCCACCUCCCACAGUCAGAGGGCACGUCCAGCCUGGCCAGCAGUGGCUCCACAGGCUGUGACCACAGAGUGAGGGGCGCCUGGCCCAGC